GAGAGACUGAAGGACAGGGGUGUGGAGGUAAAGAGAGAGACUGAAGGACAGGGGUGUGGAGGUAAAGAGAGAGAGACUGAAGGACAGGGGUGUGGAGGUAAAAGAGAGAGACUGAAGGAUAUGGGUGCGGAGGUAAAGAGAGAGACUGAAGGACAGGGGUGCGGAGGUAAAGAGAGAGAGACUGAAGGACAGGGGUGUUGAGGUAAAGAGAGAGAGACAGAAGGACAGGGGUGUGGAGGUAAAGAGAGAGACUGAAGGACAGGGGUGUGGAGGUAAAGAGAGAAAGACUGAAACCCAGAGGUGUGGAGGUAAAGAGAGAGAGACAGAAGGACAGGGGUGUUGAGGUAAAGAGAGAGAGACUGAAGGACAGGGGUGUGGAGGUAAAGAGAGAGAGACUGAAGGACAGGGGUGUGGAGGUAAAGAGAGAGAGACUGAAGGACAGGGGUGUGGAGGGAAAGAGAGAGACUGAAGGACAGGGGUGUGGAGGGAAAGAGAGAGACUGAAGGACAGGGGUGUGGAGGUAAAGAGAGAAAGACUGAAACCCAGAGGUGUGGAGGUAAAGAGAGAGAGACAGAAGGACAGGGGUGUUGAGGUAAAGAGAGAGAG
ensembl:lncRNA